CCCUUUACAUAAGGCACCACCCCACACCCCCAAAGGCCCCAGCAAGCACUCCCAGAGCCAAAGCCCCCUCCACAUCCCAAGUUCCUAACCUGACCUCCACCAUGAGAGAUUAACAUCCCAACCAGCUGCUGCUCGCAACGUACGUAGCAUCUUGCCCGCCCCUCGUCGAAGUCCGACCCGCAGCUAGCUCAGCCGGCGGCCGGCGAGCACAACGUACGUGGUGGGGUCGCACUCGCGCACCACCGGCGGAGCUAGCUAGCUAGCGUUGCCCCUGUCUCUGCCACCGCUCGUCGCCGCGGCCGGCCUGCCUGUAGAUCGUACGCCGACUUCGACGACGUACGGCCACCUCCUCCCCCAACGAAUUAGCCAUACGGAAGGACAAGUUUUUUAAUUAAGGGGUAAAGUCCAUCUUACUCUCCAAAUAUGGCAAAGGCAAAGAAAAAGAAGAAGAAAAAAAACCCCAAAGCUUACUUUUGAAUAAUUGGAUUGGACAGUCAUAGGAAAGAAAAAAUAAAUGAAUGGCUAGCCGCCCCCGUCGCACUGCUCGUGCACCAAACCGUUUCGGUUUUGAGGAAGUUAGAGUUGAGCCAGAGGCAGAUCAUGAGGAAGACUCCAUCAUUAACAUGUUGGUAGCUGAUUUGGAAGCCCAUGAGCAAGGUGAGGAGAGGUGUCCGUGUGUUUAGGAAUGUACCUCUCAAGUUCAUUCCUGAGCAUCACGCAGUGUAUAGUGGUAGGAUAGUUACGCUCAACAAGUCUGGCGUUGUUGGACACAGGCCGGCACCACCACCGGUCCUCCAAGAAGCUCAGAUCUUAGAUGUUGAUGAUCUCACCAACCUGGCACUCCUACCACCUUCUCCGGAGCCAUCCUUAGGUCCGCGCAGAAGGGGCAAGAGAAUCAUGACUCCCAGCUACUCUUCAGGUGGCAACAGCAAGGGGACCAGGAGGGACUCCACCGGAGAUGCAUUUAAUAGGCUGGCUGACCUGAGGGUUCAGUCCAAUGAAAGUAAGGCCAGGAGGGAGGAGCAGAAGCAAGCGAAGAGCGCUAGAGCAUGCAUGGAGAUGCUCAAGGCUGAUGGGAUUAGCAUGCAGGAUCCCAUCUACCACACAAUCCUGAGGAUGUUUCGUGAUGGGUACCUGUGUGAGUUCUUCAUUGAGGACUGCACCACACCAGAGGGUCGCAUGUACUUCAUCCAGCUGCAUGGUGCACCAGACCUCACUCCUGACCCCCUGUUGUUUGCUCCACCGCCACCACCAACCUGCUCAGGCCAUGUUGAGGGCUGGUACAAGAGGUUCAGUCCUCAUGACGAUGAUGGUAGCGACGGUGCUAAUGGUGGUGCUGAUGGUGCAGCAAUGUUUUAGCACUGCUUCUGCUUGCUUAUGUCGCUUUGGUGCCAUGUUCUGUUCGUGAUGCAUCUUUUAAUUUCCCUGUGAUGUCUGUUUAAUAACUUGCUCCGAUUCAUAUCGAGCAUCGUGCUUGUUGUAGGCCUUAUUUAAGGGCCCCUUUGAAACACAGGAUAGGAAAAACACAGGAAUAGGAAAAACGUAGGAAUUGAAGUGGUAUGUUUUCCUAAUCCUACAGGAAUGAAAAACACAAGAAAUAUGAAGAGGGUCCCUUUUUGAUAGCACCAUAGGAAACAAACAAAGCAAAAGGAUAGUUUCCAAGAGGUUGAACCUCUUGCUUAUUUUCCUAUGAAAUUGAGCUAUAGGAAUGCAAUCCUAAGGAAAAUUUCCUAUACUUUCCUAUGAAUCAAAGGGUUUCAUAGGAAAAAUUUCUUAGGAAAUUAAAUCCUCAAAAAUUCCUAUGACAAUCCUCCAAUUCAAAGGUGCCCUAAGUUGAGUGGCUUCUUGAACAAUUUCAGCACCAUUAAUUUGAACUAUGUGAGCUGCAGUGCUUGAAUAAAUUAUGUUGAGCUGAUAUUUAUUUGCCUUUGUUGAUUGCCCUUAUUUUGUACAAGGAGCUAACUUUUUGUGGUUUGCUAACUUAAUUUACAAUUGCAUUGCACUAAUAUGUUGCCUAUUUUAAUCACUGUUUUUUUGCAGUACUUUAAUAAUGUGAACUAACCUUUCGAUUUCUACCUACUUAGAAUCAUUUUGUCAUUGCAGCACAUAGGCUUCUAACUUAACCAUGAUUUACUUUGUCAUGUAUUGAUAUAGGAACAUGAGCACUUCUGAAAGAUCAUAUGGUUCUAAGGAUGGCUACUACAGUGAGGAGGAGGACUCCUUUCUGGACAUGUUGGUUGCGGCUUUGAAGGCAAAGCUAUGUGUGAGGGCAGCACGUUGGGUAUCGCAACAAUCUGGAAUGGAAUGGGUGAUGGAGACAAUGGAAAACCCAUCUCAAUGCCAAGCAAUUUUCCGUCUGAUGCCAGAUCAAAUCCAUGCUCUGUUUGGGUUACUUACUAAUCGAUACAAUCUUCAUGGAUCAAUUGAGGUAUGCCCAAUGGAAGCACUUGGAAUAUUUUUGUACAUCAUGGCGGGGGGCAAUUCAAAUAGGGCCACUAAUAAUAGGAUGAAUGAUGAAGAAUUCCAGCCAUUUGCUGGUGCGGCUGGUGCAGUGGAUGGAGCACACAUUCAUUGCAUUGUGGCAGUGGAUGAUUCCAUUCAACACAGGAACCGUCACCACAUAACUUCUAGGAAUGUUCGUCGCUAUUGGAUUGGACGACCGUGUCAUUUUUGCAGAUGUUGGGUGGCUAGGGUCUGUGCAUGAUCAACCUAACAGAAGCAGUACGGGGCUAUCCGUUUGUUUUCCCAAGGCUACCAUGGGGGAAAUAUUUCCUUGUGGACUCGGGAUAUGCUAGCCGGUAUAGAUUCCUACCACCUUACCCACAUGUUUGGUACCACUUGGAUGAAUUUGCGGGUAAUAAGGGAGCAGCCUUGCCCCAUGGAAAGGAAGAUACUUUUAACUAAAUGCACAGUUCGUAGCGUAACAUAGUGGAAAGGACAUUUGGAGUUAUCAAAAGCCAGUGAGAAUCCUGAGGGAAAUACCUUAUUUCCUUAGGAGUGACGACCAUACCAAGAUCAUACAUUGUGCAUUAGUUCUACAUAACUUCAGGAUUGACAGCUCCGACAUGUAUUUCCUUACACAGAACCCAUUGUACAAUGGAUACCCCAUCGUUUCAGAUGCUCCACCCUACGUGGCUGGAACGAUGUACCUAACAGAGCGGCGGCAAUGAAUACACUCCGUGAUACCAUUGCAGAUGAAGUUUACAACAGGUAAAUGGUAUUUAGUUUGCACCGUUUAAAAUAAUUAACAUAGCCAUGUCUGUCAUGGAUAUGUUCUCUAUAUGUAUUGUGUUUCUAAAAUCUGUCUGUACUCGUCCAUGUGUAGUUCACUGUGUUCCUACUACUGUCGUGUUUGUGUGAUUUAUCUCUAGCAUCCUCUCAUGCUUAAUAUUACCAGCUUUGCUCUAA